GAUGAACGCUGGCGGCGUGCUUAACACAUGCAAGUCGAACGGUGAAGCAGAGCUUGCUCUGUGGAUCAGUGGCGAACGGGUGAGUAACACGUGAGCAAUCUGCCCCGGACUCUGGGAUAACAGUUGGAAACAGCUGCUAAUACCGGAUAUGAGACGUGACCGCAUGGUCGACGUUUGGAAAGAAUUUCGGUUCGGGAUGAGCUCGCGGCCUAUCAGCUUGUUGGUGAGGUAAUGGCUCACCAAGGCGUCGACGGGUAGCCGGCCUGAGAGGGUGACCGGCCACACUGGGACUGAGACACGGCCCAGACUCCUACGGGAGGCAGCAGUGGGGAAUAUUGCACAAUGGGCGGAAGCCUGAUGCAGCAACGCCGCGUGAGGGAUGACGGCCUUCGGGUUGUAAACCUCUUUUAGCAGGGAAGAAGCGAAAGUGACGGUACCUGCAGAAAAAGCGCCGGCUAACUACGUGCCAGCAGCCGCGGUAAUACGUAGGGCGCAAGCGUUAUCCGGAAUUAUUGGGCGUAAAGAGCUCGUAGGCGGUUUGUCGCGUCUGCUGUGAAAACCCGAGGCUCAACCUCGGGCCUGCAGUGGGUACGGGCAGACUAGAGUGCGGUAGGGGAGAUUGGAACUCCUGGUGUAGCGGUGGAAUGCGCAGAUAUCAGGAAGAACACCGAUGGCGAAGGCAGAUCUCUGGGCCGUAACUGACGCUGAGGAGCGAAAGGGUGGGGAGCAAACAGGCUUAGAUACCCUGGUAGUCCACCCCGUAAACGUUGGGAACUAGUUGUGGGGUCCAUUCCACGGAUUCCGUGACGCAGCUAACGCAUCAAGUUCCCCGCCUGGGGAGUACGGCCGCAAGGCUAAAACUCAAAGGAAUUGACGGGGACCCGCACAAGCGGCGGAGCAUGCGGAUUAAUUCGAUGCAACGCGAAGAACCUUACCAAGGCUUGACAUAUACGAGAACGGGCCAGAAAUGGUCAACUCUUUGGACACUCGUAAACAGGUGGUGCAUGGUUGUCGUCAGCUCGUGUCGUGAGAUGUUGGGUUAAGUCCCGCAACGAGCGCAACCCUCGUUCUAUGUUGCCAGCACGUAAUGGUGGGAACUCAUGGGAUACUGCCGGGGUCAACUCGGAGGAAGGUGGGGAUGACGUCAAAUCAUCAUGCCCCUUAUGUCUUGGGCUUCACGCAUGCUACAAUGGCCGGUACAAAGGGCUGCAAUACCGUGAGGUGGAGCGAAUCCCAAAAAGCCGGUCCCAGUUCGGAUUGAGGUCUGCAACUCGACCUCAUGAAGUCGGAGUCGCUAGUAAUCGCAGAUCAGCAACGCUGCGGUGAAUACGUUCCCGGGUCU
rnacentral:rRNA from 1 species